rnacentral:lncRNA from 1 species
GUGAGACUGAUUUUCUUUUGAACAUCAUAGAAAAUCCUGUUCUGGGACAGGUUGUGCACAUUAGGUGGUAAAACAGUUGGUUAUGAUUGGGAAACCAGCUAUAAAUUUAAACCCUACACGGAAAUGUGCAUACAGUAGGAGGAACUACCAUGUGGGUGCAACAUUUAAAAUGACAUAGAUAAUAAAAAAAAUAGUUUGAUGGAGAAGAAAUUACUCUUUUCAAAUGAUAGGAAAGGAAGACGUUCCUAACCAAAUACUGUUUGUUUUGUGUGUUUUUUGUUUCCUGAGUGUGUGUAUUGACAAAAGAUUUAUAUUAUGGACGAACGAUGGACCCUGUCAGCCUGACUGGUUGCACUGUGUGAUCGAAUAAAGGAACACAUUCUCCAGUAGUAAAUCGGCAGACGUCCCAGUAUUGUUUUUAAUACAAGAAAGAUGCUUGUUUCUGUCGGCUCGAUGCGUGAAGAAGCCAGGUGGCUGUACUGACUCCGAUAGCUUGUCUCGAGUGAGCCAUGUUUCCGUGAAACAAAGAACGUUACAAUCUCUGAUGUCUCUCUGGAAGGCAACUCUUGCUCGGAUUUCGUCUACCUUGUUGUCAAGAGACUGGACAUUGGCGAGUAGUAUACUCGGGAGCGGUGCGCGAUGUGCCCGUCUAUGGAGCCUGACCAGAAGACGGUUCCGUCUGCCGUCGUUGUUUUGGGUCGCCGGCUGUGAUCCGAUCCAUUGUCCUGGGUGGUAGGCCUAACAGAGGAUCCGCUUCGGGAAAAUCGUAUUCCUGGUCGUAAUGUUGGAACGCGAAGCGAGGCGGCCAUCUCUGUCGGCGCCGGAAGUACCCCACUCUUCCACCAAAGCACCUGCAAGUUCCCAGACAUUUCUGAGGGGACUGGCCCUAGCCCUCACCCUCCGAUCCAACAAGUCCCAGACAUGCUCAAUGGGAUUGAAAUCCGGGCUCUUCGCUGGCAAUGGUAGAACACUGAUAUUCACAGGAUGAGCAGUAUGGCUGGUGGCAUUGUCAUGCUGUAGGGUCAUGUCAGGAUGAGCCUGCAGGAAGGGUACCACAUGAGGGAGGAGGAUGUCUUCCCUGUAACGCACAGCAUUGAGAUUGCUUGCAAUGACAACAUGCUCAGUCCGAUGAUGCUAAUCAACAAAUGUAAAAAUGUAAGCAUGAACAGAUAGACUGUCGCAUGGAUACUACAUCACCAGUAUCAGCCAAAGAGCUGAUUCCAAUGGACUUUCUUCAGCUAGCUAACGUUAGCUAACUUACCCUGCUUUUAUAGCUAAGAUAUUGAAAAGCUGUUGCGUACUGUUUUGUUUGAACAAUGGUAGGAGUAAAGACCACCAAAUAAAGUUUUAUCAACUGCCCAAGGACCAGGUUAGAUGAACCUCAUGGUUUCAGGCUAUACGCCGCGAUGAUGAUGGGAAUCUGUGAGCUCCGGUUACUCAAUACAUUUGUGUGUUCGAAGCAAUUAAUUCACGGUAAGUCGCUAGCUAACACUUGUUUGUAUCUACUGUAACUAGCUAUGUGUAUUGCCUGUGUAAACCUGGGCCAUUUGGUAGGAUUGUCUGCACAGCUGGUCCCUGCCAAGUUGAAAGGACAUAUAGGCAAGCCAACAAGAAUCAACUUUUUAAAUACUAGACCGUUCAAGGGUAGGCAAAGACUUGAAGUAGUUAAGUGGCAUAUCUAAGACUAGCGAAUUAGAUUGAGAUUAACUUCUCUUGCUAGAAAGCCAGCUAACGAAAGUUAACCUGCGAAAAAGCUAGGGGUAAACAAACAGUGACGUCAGUAUAAUGCAACAGUUUUACUAGCUUUACUGUAGAUGAAAGCAUGUCGGGUAACAAAUUAGCGGGGUAGAAUAAGUAUUAUGCAAAUCAUUUGUUGUUGUGACAGUCAAGUACUGUAUGUUAAUAACGACACGUGACGCUGAUGAAAACAUUUAUUGAAAUGGCAAAAAGGUGUCAGGAGUUUGCUUAGGAUGACGUCAAAGUUAGGCUAAUUACAUAGGAGUACCCUAGAUCUGUACCCCACUCGGGGGCGUGGUCACAUCAAGCCACACAUCGCCAUGUGUAUCUAUUGCUAGCAUGUCCAGGCAACCUCUUCUGCCUCACAUUACCGAAACCCCGCCCACAGUGUUUGAUUGACAUGUCUAACACAUUGAAAAUACAAAGGAGGAAUGAGGAAACGAAAUAGCAAAAUAAAGCAUUG